rnacentral:rRNA from 1 species
CUGGGAUGUGAUGGGGAGCGAAAUUUAGUAGCGAAGUAGCUGAUUUCACACUGUCAAGAAAAGUCUCUAUCGAGGUUAAAGGUACCCGUACCGCAAACCGACACAGGUGGGUGAGGAGAGUAUCCUAAGGCCCGCGAGAGAACUGUUGUUAAGGAACUCGGCAAAAUGACCCCGUAACUUAGGGAUAAGGGGUGCCACCAUCCGGUGGCCGCAGAGAAUAGGCCCAAGCGACUGUUUACCAAAAACAUAGGUUUCUGCUAAGUCGCAAGACGAUGUAUAGGAGCUGACGCCUGCCCGGUGCUGGAAGGUUAAGGGGAUCUGUUAGAGCAAUCGAAGCAGUGAACUUAAGCCCCAGUAAACGGCGGCCGUAACUAUAACGGUCCUAAGGUAGCGAAAUUCCUUGUCGGGUAAGUUCCGACCCGCACGAAAGGCGUAACGAUUUGGGCACUGUCUCA